ensembl:lncRNA
GGAGAGGCUGAGGAACCGGGUCUUGUUCAGCCUGGAGAAAGGGUGUUUUCAAGCAGGGAGGUCACUGAGGAGAUGGAUCCAGGCUCCUUGUAACACUGCAUCUCAGGAGUUGAUAUGAAAACAGAUAUACACUGAAGCAGAAGAGAUUCAGACCCAAUGAGGGAAACCAGGAAGAGGUUGUCAAGGGUGGUUGCCUCCUUGGAGUCAUUCAGGUCCUAGGUGGAUCAAAUACCGAGCAAGGUGGUCUGACCUCAGAGAUCCUGCAGAGACUAGCUUCAGAGCAGGUCAAGCAGGGGUACCCAGAAAAGGUUGAACAGGACCAUGUACAGGACCAUCUGUAGAGCAUCUCCAAGGAGUCAGACUCCAUAAAUUGGUCUUCACAUGGAUGUCGGAAGCACAACCUGCCACUCUGAACCGAGAAGAGACAAAAGGUGCAAAUGCCUUAAAAAAAAAAAAAAGUAAAACAAAACAAACAACACAACACAACAACAAAAAACGAAACAAAGAACAACAACAAAUGGGAUCAGCCAGAGCCAUUGACAGGAAAUGAUGAAAGAAAUUAUGUCCAACAAGCUUAAAAUUCUUACAGGAUAUAUAAGAAAUUUUAAUCUAAUCUGCUUCUCUUUGCCUCUUAUUUUAUGAUUUUUCUCCACUUUAUUCUUUUGGUGCCCUUUCUCUUUUCUCUGUCUUACAGACAAUUCCAGAUCUGUGAAUAACUGGUCACAUCUUCUACAAUUAGAAGAAGUAGCACAAAGGGU